rnacentral:rRNA from 1 species
ACGAGUAGAGUCCUACGGUGUGCUUACUGACUGCAUGUCGGACGAGAAAAGCCUUCGGGGGUGAGUAGAGUGGCGAACGGGUAUACGUGGGCAACCUGCCCCUCGCAGUGUGGAUAACCGGAGGAAACUCCGGCUAAUACCCCGUAAGCUUUCAGAGUCGCAUGGCUCUGUAAGGAAAGGUAGCUUCGGCCAUCCGGCGAGGGAUGGGCCCGCGGUGCAUUAGCUAGUUAGUGGGGUAAUGGCCCACCAAUGCGACGAUGCGUAGCUCGUCUGAGAGGAUGAUCAGCCACACUGGGACUGAGACACGGCCCAGACUCCUACGGGAGGCAGCAGCCAGGAAUCUUGGGCAAAUGGGCGCAAGCCUGACCCAGCAACACCGUGUGGGUGAUGAAGGCCUUCGGGUCGUAAAGCCCUGUUGAUAGGGACGAAGGGUGAAGGGUUAAUAGCCCCUAGCCUGACGGUACCUUUCGAGGAAGCCCCGGCUAACUACGUGCCAGCAGCCGCGGUAAUACGUAGGGUGCAAGCGUUAAUCGGAAUUACUGGGCGUAAAGCGUGCGCAGGCGGUGAUGUAAGACAGUUGUGAAAUCCCCGGGCUCAACCUGGGAACUGCAUCUGUGACUGCAUCGCUGGAGUGCGGCAGAAGGGGAUG